UGCUUCUGGAUUAUACUAACCACUCUUUCCAGCAAGUUUUUACUUAUCUACCUUUGUUUAAAGCUGGUUGUCACUUAUGGAUUGUUCAGCUUUAGUUGUUCGUCUAUUUCCCCACACUCAAAUAAGAGCCAUGUUGAUAUUCUCUCACUUUUCCAAGCAUAGAGCUGAUGACUGUUACUACCUCCUUAGGAGUCAUUAAGAUCUUUACUUUUUUCUAUUCCUUGAUUAAGAAGUCUAUUCAAUAGCUUGAUAUAUGGGGUUGUCAAGGUCCAUUGGUUAAUCCUUGGUGGUUCCAUUGCAUUGUUUCAAGUCUGGAUGCUUUGCUUGACCUCAGGACCAAGCUUUUUCAUGCUUUUACUACUAGUCGUCCCUUAGUCAUUGGAGGUUCUCUUUGCUUUAUUAAUGCUCCCUCUGCUGCUCCUCCAUAGUUUGUGAGAUAUCUGCCUUGCUUAUGGAGUAAAUAGUUUGGCCUUCACCAGGUGAUUCCAUAUGUUGAUUUUUCUGCCUUUGUUAUUCUUGACCAUAUGACUGUUGAAGUUGUUCGGGGUUUAGUAUAAUAACAAUGUUCUUUUUAUUGCUCCAUCAUUCUAGUAAACAAAGUAGAGACCUUUACUUUUAAGACUUGGUGGCCUUUGCUUUAUUUUAGUCUUUCUCCUAACAGUCUUGAGUCGAUACUUGCAGGUAUGUAUUUCUCUUUUCAUUUAUUUUUCUCAUUUUUCCUUUUAUUUCUUAUUUUUUUAUUAUUUUCUUCUCUUCUUUUAAGGCUUAUCUCCUAUUUCUCGGCCUAAAAAAAUUGAAGAAUACUACUACUCCUGUGACUUUUAAAGACAUCCAGUAAAGAGGUAGUCACUCCUUCUCUACCAAAAGCAAAGGUGUCCAAGCCUAAACCUCCUUCUAAAUUUGCUACCAAAGCUCCUUCAGCCUCUAAAGCAGUGAGAUAUUUAGGGCGGAUCAAACAAAAGAGUGUUAUCUCCAUUACUUCUAUAUACCCAUUGAGCCUUUUGGAUUCUUCUUUUAAUAGAGAUGAGAAUGAGUCUUCUUCUUCUUCGUCUCAGGUAAGAUACCUUCAUUUUCUUGUUAUGAUAAAUUGAAUUUUAUCUGUAAAUAUUUAAAUAUAUAUCUUACUCUUUCUUAUAGAGUGAGGAGAUCUUUUUGGCUCCUAAUGUUAGUGAUGUUUCUAGAGGAGGCCAUCAUUAUGAAUCCACAGAUGAUGCUAAUUAUAUUGAGGUCAAGGCUGGUCGUAAUUUAUUUGAACAGUUAUAGCCUUAGUACUUGAGUUUGUCAAUUCCCUUUUUGUCCUUGAUUUUGGUUUUCUCAUUAGGCCUCCUCAUAUCAGAGUUCUAUAUCCUCUCUUCCGUUAAAGGCUUUUGUAAAGUCAGCUAAGGUUAAUCUUCAACAUCUGUUGAGCAUUGAUUUGAUGAGUUAGAAUGAGGCCCAAAAGCAGGUGGUUCAGACUUCUCUUUGUCUGAGGCAAUUGUCUCUACACUAAAGGAUCAGAUCUUGAUUGGGGAUAUUUCAUCUUAAGUUAAGGCAAUGUUUCCCUCAGCCUAGAAGACUCGUACCAGCAUUUCCAACCUUUCUUAGAGGUUAUUGUUCGAGAUAAAAUAAAGUAAUUUACAAAGCUUUUUAAACUUUCAUUUAAGGCUCUGAUUGACAAUUUUAAUUCAUUGACUACCAUAGCUGGAGAUGCUUAAAGUGCCUAUAAGAGAGUCUUAGAUGCAUACCAAGAGACUUAUGAUAACCUUCAGGCUUUGAAGGCUUAGGUGAUUACUAAAUAGGCCAAUCUUUUUGAGCUUUUGUCAAAGAGUGAGAAACAGAAGGCAAAGCAUGAUGCUGCUUCUUCAAGAGUGGUUGCUGAAGGUCAAAAACUGAAAGCAGAUUAUUCCUUCAUUCAGACUUACAAUGAAGAGCUUGUGGUUUUCCAAGCUACACAAGAUUCCAUGUGUCAGAGAUUGAGUCAAUUCAGUUCUCUCUUAUCCACUCACCUUGAGAUGUAGUACAUUGGUUCUUCUUUAGUAUAAACUAUUUAUACUCUUUAUGAUUUUUUUAAGAUGGUUUUCUGAGACUUUGUUGGUGAUAGCCAUGGGUGUUGGUCAUCUUUGUUUGGUUUAAUUAAUUGAAUUUGAACUUGGUUUUUCCUUUUA